rnacentral:lncRNA from 1 species
AUCGGAGCGGUCGCCGACUAUGACUUUAACGGCGACCAGCGACGCCGGCGACAUCCUGGCUCCCGGCUUGUCAAUGGAGAGGGUUCAAGAACUUACCACACACCAAGAAGAAGGCGCCAAGCGGUGGUGACAAUAUAGAAAGGUGGUGGAGGAAGCUUGCCGGUGGUGACAAUGUAGAGAGGUCGAGACGAUAGCGGUCAAUGACGCACCGACGACGGAGAUGGAAGCAAAGCAGUUGGCGGUGGUGACCACACAAAGAGGACGAGAUGAGGAUGACAAAUGGCAGUCAUCGACGAUGGUAGCAAACGUGAUGAACAGGGAAGAAGUUCGCGCAUGGGUUUUCUUUCGUGCAGAGAAGAAGAUGAAUUGGGAAGAGUGGUUUUGUUGCGCGAUGUCUGAAAUUUAAAUAGGCUAUUGCCUCGGUUCUCCACUUAACC